rnacentral:rRNA from 1 species
CUACGGGACGCUCCAAGCGAGAAAACUUUGCAAUGUGCGAAAGCACGACAAGGUUAAUCCGAGUGGUUUGUGCUAAACGAACCUUUUGACAGUCCUAGAAACACUGUUGAAUAAGGGGUGGGCAGAGUUCUGGGUGUCAGCCGCCGCGGUAAAACCAGCACCUCAAGUGGUCAGGAUGAUUAUUGGGCCUAAAGCAUCCGUAGCCGGCUCUGUAAGUUUUCGGUUAAAUCUGUACGCUCAACGUACAGGCUGCCGGGAAUACUGCAGAGCUAGGGAGUGGGAGAGGUAGACGGUACUCGGUAGGAAGGGGUAAAAUCCUUUGAUCUAUUGAUGACCACCUGUGGCGAAGGCGGUCUACCAGAACACGUCCGACGGUGAGGGAUGAAAGCUGGGGGAGCAAACCGGAUUAGAUACCCCUGUAGUC